UGUGACUCAGCACCGUGGCAAUUGUACUGCUGCGAGGAGACAAACCACAUAGAAAGAGAGGAGCCUCAUUUGCCGUGUCAGAAGUACAAAAGGCUGGUGGAUCUGCAGUUCCUGCACGUCUGCUGAGAGCUGAGCAUUCCAGGGGAGCAGUGCAGGGCUGCAGUGCAGCUGCAGAGCUGCAGUGAUCCCCCAGUCCGUGGGUGUGACCAGCUGCAGGCCCUCAUCAGGAUCCUUGCUUGCAGCUGUGCGUGCUGGAAAAACCCGACGUGAGGGGACAGAGGAGAGUGAAGGUGUGUGCCGAGUUCAGGGAGAAGUUUGUUGUGCAGUCAGAGGUCAUAGUUUUUAUAAGAGGCAACGCUGAGCUUCCAUUCUUGGAGAAUUUCUUCAGUCCAGGUUAGUCCAAUGGUUGUUGUUUAGAGAAUGUUGUGUUUGUGGGUAUUUUUCUCCUAGGUUGUGCUCUGUGCUUUAACUUCUCUGGGUGUGUAAGUAUCUUCCCACUCUGCUUUUCAAGAUGCUUCUAUGAAUUCUAAUCUCAGUUUAGUUACAUGAUUCACUCAUUAACGUUUUGCUGGCUGAAGGAAAGCCUGUCUGAAGGUCAGGUGCCUUCAGAAUUUAUGUGUUUUUAUAUGCUGUGAAGAUACAUCAGCACCUAAAUCCUUCUUGUGCUACUUUUGUUUUUGUGAAGGCUGUAGUAGUGGCUGUACACUGCAGUUCAGUAGAUCAGAGUCUGGAUCCAUCCUGAAUUAAUUCCUAGUAAAGUUCAGCCCUUGCUUCAUAGAGUUUUCAGUCUGGUUCUGGCAUAAUACUCCUGUCCUGCCUCCACAGAGAUUUGGGUUUUUUUGUCAGUCACUUAGUGACUGAGAGCUAAAAACCCCCUUUUUUGAUGAGAAAGGCUGAAUUCCUGAAGCAACUGCUUUGGCUGGAAGACUGUGAGAAGUUCAGGUAGGAGUAGUUGAUCUGUUGUGAGUGAAUACAAGCAGGCAGUACCUGUGCUGCUGAAGUUCCUGAAAGGAUGUGAAUAUCCCUGUUUAAGCAGUGCCUUCUGAUAAUUUUGCCUGUGUGACUCAUUUUUCUAUGCUAGACUGUUUGCCUUAGCUAUUGUCAAAAGGCUUUUAGCUGGACUAUAAAAUUCAGCUGUGAAUUCAGUCAAACCAUGCUGUUCUACCUAGUUCUUCCUGCAGUUUGAAGUUUUCUUGUGCAAUUUAGCAACCCCCUCCUGCCAAACCACAUUGAUUUUAGUCUACAAAAAAAAAAAAAAAAUUAAUAA